AAAGACUGGAAUUUUGGGAAGUUCUUGAGAACUAGCCAUCAAAGUUUUACAAUGCUUCGAAGAUAAUGCGUUGGUGGGAAGGUUAGCAUUUAUACUGCUCUUUGGUUUCGUUCGUUUGUCGUUUGUCGUGCUUUAGUUGAUACAGUAUGCGCUUGGAUAAUACUGAAAUACAGUAUACAAAUCAUUACUCAUAAAAAUUCUUGAUGAUGAAAUUAGAGUAUUAUGACAUCGACGUGAAUAUUAAAUUCAAUCUUGAUUGACCCAUUGUCUAUUAGUUUGAUAGAUCGUCGUAGAUAUGGUCCUUCAAGCUAAACAAUGUUUAUUUAAUGGGGAAAAUUGGCAUGUUAUGGAAGACUAGGAUGUGAUGUAUCAAAUAAUUAAAAUGUCAAGUCUAAGAUUUUAUCAAUCGUAUCUAUUUGUAUUAUGGUCAUACAUGUAGAUUGGGUGAGAUCUCAUAAUCUAUUAAUUUUUUGUGGAUCUUGUUGUUUAUUGGACGCUCCACUUAUGGUCCUUCAAAAUAAAUAAAUGAUGGCAAAAUUGGCAUGUUAUGAAAUAAUAAGAUUUAUGUAUUAUAUAUGAAAUGAUUAAAAUCCCAAGUUUGAAAUUUUGUCACAUUUUCGUGGGAGAUGUGGAAAGAAUUGAUUGAUUGUUACCUGCUAACAAAUUCUUGCACAAUAUGAGAAAUUAUGGAUGUAUAAUUGUGAGUGAUUAUGUAUUGCAGGUACAAUCAAGAAUUUAAAUUUUGAAUCUUGAAAAGAUCAAACAAAUUGUUUAUUGCUCUCCCAAUAUUGCGGUCCACAAAAUUACGUGGACUUUUGCUAGUAUUUGUUUUAUGUCACACACACUCCUGGC
rnacentral:lncRNA from 1 species